AGCCACCACCCAAUUUGAUUUCUUUUUUUAAUUUUUCGAUUUUAUUUAUUUAUUUAUAAUUAAUUGAUGCCACCUUCUUUGAAGUUUCAUUUUCAAGUCUAUAAAUAGAAGCAUAGAUUUCAUAUAAUCUCACACAAGUCAUUUGCUCCAUCAAUUGUUGGUCAUGGCGAGGUAUACAAAUUUUCAUCCUUUUCAUAUUGCAUUUUUUUUUCAUCAUUAGUAUUCUAUUUUGCAUAUAUAUUAAAUUAUAUUUCUUAUAUGUGACUGAUUAAAAUGAAAAAAAAAUGAAUUAAUAAUUACUAAAAUAAUAUGUGUAAAACUUAAUUAAUUAUGGGUUUUUAAUUUGGUGUACAGAUUGAUGAUGAAGGUGCAAGCUAUAAUCAUAGGUUUGAUUGUUGUUGGAUCAAUCUCAGUUGAGGCUAGAAAAGUAAUUUCAGAAUUUGAACCCAAUUUUCAAAUGGGAGACUCAAACACAGGUCAUCAUCUUCGAUCAAAGCCCACACCAAAUUGCUGGUGAUGGAAACCUUACAUGGAAUCGCUUUAUAAGAAUAUUGAUAGAAGUUGAGAUCCCCGAUCCUCCACCUGCAGGGGGAGGGGGAGUGAUCCUCUUACCAAAAAUAACUUUUAGUAGCAAGUCAUUGAAAUUUAGUAGGAUGUAUAAUUUAAUUCCUAUUUUUUCUUUUUGUAAAUAAUUUAAUGUUGAAUUAUUGAGUUCUGCUUGUGUACCGUUGGAUUUUCUCUCUAGUUUCAAUACCAGUUUGUUUGCUGGUUUUUAUUGGAUAUCUUUCUAUCGCUCAAAUCUGUUUCAGUGAAGUGGAUUUUAGGUAUGUGCUCAACAACAGAACUUGAACAAUCCACAAUCAAUACUUAUGCAUCCUAGAAUGGCCCUAGAUUUGGCUUUCGAAAAUUUAAAUUUUUUAACUUCACCCUUUUGGAUUUAAGGUCAUGAUCUAGCUCCAAAACAAGUUAACAAACAAAAUGCAAUGGCGAUUGGGAAUCUAGUUGGGGAGUUUGUAGAAGUAGAUCUCACAUAAGAUGGGCAAAUUGGAUACCCAAAGUUCUUAUGGAUAAAAGUUAAUCUUCACAUCACCAAGUUCUUAUGCCCAGGCUUUCAUAGCAAGCGUUUGGAUGGGUUUGUUGCAUGGGUAACAAUAAAAUAUGAAAGGAUGCCAGAUAUAUGCUUCAAAUGUGGUAUUGUAGAACAUCUUAACAAGUCUUGCUCACUACAAAAAGCAGAAUAGGGUAGCUAUCUUAGAGCAGGGAAGAACCGAUUUGGAUUAUGGAUGAAAGCGCAAUCAGUGGGAGAAGGCGAGGUCUCGAAGCCACCUUCAACAGUGUGUACAUCCAUCUCAUCAUUACCUUCCACGCAACCAUAAAAUCCACAGACUCCUAAUGGACACAACCAAGACCAUACCCAAUCAUAGUCUUCCCCAUCCAAAAAUCAAACACAACACAUGAUGAUGCACUUACUCAGGCCACAAAUGCAAAACCUACAAAUAUUAGAAACAAGUGUACCUUUAUUGACAUCUAACCUUGAACCACCAAAGCAAAUAGCCACAAAACAUCACAUGUUGCAGCUGUUAUGGUGGUCAAAAAAUUCAGACGGUCUUGUUUUGAAAAUGAACCAAACCAUAGUGACAUCGAGAAACACCUUUUGUUUCCAAUAAAACCUUGGAGACCGAAAUGGAUCUAACAGCAUACUUGCAAUAAUCUGAUGUCCAGUAAGUGCGCUUACUAUCCAAACCAUUGAUUCAAAGCCUUUUUGAAGAAUACAUAAAGAAGCAAAGGUACGAGAAAUUUAAUGCUUAUAAGCUUUUUGGCAAGUAUUUGUUUCUCCUCGAUCAUUUACUAUUGGUGAUUGAAGUGGUGCGUCAGAAGAAAAGUUACGAUAAAAUAAUGAACUUUGUGGGUACAAGGAACAUAUAUCUUAAGGCAAAGCACAAAAGAAGGAGGGGAAAUAGGAAGCCAAGAUAUGGACCAAAGUUUCAAGAAGCAGGAAGAGGCCCAUUUGAGCUCCAAGUCACACCCACAGGCUGGGCCUAAAGGAAUUGAUAGAAAAGACCAUACUCUCACGUAGAAAGCUAGAAAAUGGGAGGAAAGGAAAAAAGGCCUAGCCCAAAAAUGCAAACCAAUUCAGAUCCCAAAUAAGGGCCUAGGGUCUAAAGAAAUGAUGUCAUUAAACCAUCUGAUUCCUAUGGCCCUAACUAUGUUUUAUUCACAAAAGCAAGGAUGGGAGGUUGGGUCUAAAAUUGCCCAUCAAGGUGGAGAGACUAACAGGAUGAACGAAUAACAGCAACUGAACAACUAAGCACUGCUGGAAAAGGCUUGCAAGACAAAAAAACUCAUGCUCCUUUAGGGGUAACUCUGGAAGAAAUUGAGACACAAAAAGAGGAGAAUGGUUUGCUGUGGAAGAGGAAACAAGAUGAAGGAGACAUAUAAGAAUAAGAAAAUGUGUCCAGAGACAGAAAUCUCUUUUACUACAAGGGUGGAGGAAAUCAAACCCAAAUAGUCCCAGUCAACCAAAUGAAGAUUUUAACAUGGAAUUGUCAGGGUGUGAGGAACCCUCUGACAAUCCAUAAUCUUAAAAGGAUGCUAAAGAUCCAUUCUCCAGAUAUUUUGUGUCUCCUAAAAACUAAAAACAGUGCAAUGAAGGUGCAAAAAAUUGUAUAGAGAUGCAAGGAUUUUCAUAAUUUAUUUUGUGUUGACCCUAAAAGUCAAGCUAGGGAGCUUUGUAUUAACUAGAAUGAUGCUUUGGUUAUCAAUGUUAACUCUAGUGAUUCCCACUAUAUUCAUGUUGUUGUUAAUGAUUUACAGAUGGAUGUUGUUUGAGAUUUUAUUUUGGUACAUCUUAGCUCUAAUGAUAAUAUUCGGGAAAGUCAAUUCAAUAACCUGGUAUUUUUGAAACGGUCUUUUCGUCCUGCUCUUUUGAUGAUGGGAGCUUUUAACACAUUCUUGCUACCAUUAGAAAAGUUGGGAGGACAUUAGCAUUUGUUAUCAAAGAUUCAAGCCUUUAGGAACUUCACUGAGGAUAUGGAAAAGACCUAGGUUUUAGUGGUGAUUCAUUUACCUGGAAUAAUAGAAGAGGAGGGAAUGCUAACAUUCGGGAAAGAUUAGAUAGAGGUUUGGUGUCUCCGCAAUGGUUAUGCUGCUACUCCAAUGCCUCAAUUAUGCCCUUAGAAGACGAUGAAUCAGAUCACAGAUCGAUUUUGCUUAACACAAAUAGCAAUUGUCCAAAGCUGAAAACCUUAUUCUAUUUUGAUGAAAGGUGGUUGAAUAAUAAUGAAAUAGAAGAGCUUAUUAAGAUAGCAUGGGAGAAGCAAGUGUUUGGGAAUGCUAUGUACCAAAUGGCUGAGAAAAUCAAAUCCUGCAGGGAAAGACUAGUGGAAUGGAAGCGAACAUCUAACCCGAAUUCAAGGUAGUGCAUAAAAUCUAUUCAAAAACAGCUCCAUGAAGUAAAGAGUAAACCAAUUUGGAAUGAAAAGAAAGUUAAGUGGUUAGAAUAUGAGCUUAAAACUGAAAUUCAGAAUGAGGAGUGUUACUGAGCAUAGAAAGUAAGAAUAAAUUGGUUACAGAGAGGGGAUAGAAAUAAGAAUAAAUUGGUUAUAGAGAGGGGGAUAGAAAUACAGUAUUUUUUCAUGCAAGUGUACUUCCAUGAAGAAGGAGAAAUCACAUAUUAAGGUUGCAGGAUGACAGAGGAGUGUGGAGAACCUCUCAGAGUCAAAUUACUCAAAUUGCUCUAGACUAUUUCAAAAAAUUGUAUACAUCUUCUAAUCCCACCAAUAUUGAUCAACUUACUGCAGGAUUUCAAGCUAAAAUGGAUAUGGAUAUGAAUGAAUGACUAAUCCAACCUGGAAGUAGAGAGGAGAUCAAAAGAGUUGCCUUCUCUAUCAACCCUUCAAAAGCUUUGAGGCAUGAUGGCAAGACUGGCCAUUUCUUUUAGCAUGCCUGGCACAUCCUGGGAGAUGAGAUAACCACUGCAGUGACUAGUUUCUUUCAAAAUAGUAGAAUGCUUAAAAGUGCUAACCAUACAAUGAUCUCACUUAUUCCUAAAGUUAAAAAUGUCUGUAAUAUGAAAGAUCUGUGUCCUAAAGUUAAAAAUGUCUGUAAUAUGCAGGGCAGGGGGAGUGAUCCUCUUACCAAAAAUAACUUUUAGUAGCAAGUCAUUGAGAUUGAAUAGCAUCAUACAAUUUAAUUUCUAUUUUUUCUUAUUGUAGAUAAUUUAAUUUUUAAUUUUUAUUUUAUUAAUAAAAUAAUUAUUCUAUUAAAUUUAUAAUUUAUUACGAUUAUUAAAAUUAAAAAAAUUAAAUUAUUAUUGUAACGACCCGAAAAUCGGACCGCUACCGGCGCUAGGAUCCAGAUCGGCUUAAGGCCGCCGGGACCCGUAGCAAGCCUGACAUGCAACCUGUAAACCUGUUUAAUCCCAUACAUGAUCAACAAUCAUACAUAAAAAUUUUAAAACUUUUCUUUCAUACAUUCUAUCAUACACCAAACUCAACCUGUGCAUGCACUGAACAUGAUCAUAAUCAUAAACUUGACCCCUCUGUGGGAUCUCAUCAAUGCCCCCAAUGGGUGGCAUAACAUAUGUUGAGUUGGUUUACAUCUACGCCAUAAAACAUCUAAGAUCAUGUAUUAAAGGGAUAACAACAUCCAUAGGGUCAAGCACAACUUCUAAUCCUCAAUAUCGUUACACAUAACAUGACUAAUUCAAUCUUUACAUCAUAUUACAAUUUAUCAUGUCCACUUUCUAUCUAUUACAAACACGUGACUUUACUCUUCUUAACUUCUCUGUCUAGCCCGUACCUGCAAAUCCUGGGGGAUUAGGGAAAAGGGGUGAGCUACUAGAGCCCAGUGAGCAGAAUAAUAGAAAACAAUAUUUAAAAUCUCAUGCCAUCAUGUAAUGCAACACAUCACAACAAAUCACAUCUCGGAUGGUAUUGUCACCAAUAGUCCUCUACAUUCUAAAGUGCCGGGACGUAGAAUGGGUCAACCGGUCUUUCUUUUAACAUAACAUAACAUAGCAUUCCAAUGUGCCAGGGACGUAGAAUAGGUACAAUCUGGACUUUCUCUUACAUCGUGCCAGGGACGUAGAAUGGGUACAACCUGGACUUCCAUACCGUAUCAUGCCAUAACAUCAUCAUAUCAUAUGAGGACUAAAGGAUCAUCCAAUAACCAAUCCACAUCAACAUCAUAAAUGCAAUGCAACAUAUUUGUGAUUUCUAAUGCAAACAACCUAAUUCAUCUCAUGGCAUUCAUGAUGCAUGAACAUGCUCAACUGUAUAAUUCAUUUACUUUAAAACAUAAAGGUUUAUUCUACUCACCUCUGGCUGAAGCUCUACUGACUCAGAAGCAGCUGAACUCACUGCUGGGGUCCUCGGUUCCUCGGGUCCGAACCUACACAGGUGGACUCAAAUGAGGGACCAAACAACNNNNNNNNNNNNNNNNNNNNNNNNNNNNNNNNNNNNNNNNNNNNNNNNNNNNNNNNNNNNNNNNNNNNNNNNNNNNNNNNNNNNNNNNNNNNNNNNNNNNNNNNNNNNNNNNNNNNNNNNNNNNNNNNNNNNNNNNNNNNNNNNNNNNNNNNNNNNNNNNNNNNNNNNNNNNNNNNNNNNNNNNNNNNNNNNNNNNNNNNNNNNNNNNNNNNNNNNNNNNNNNNNNNNNNNNNNNNNNNNNNNNNNNNNNNNNNNNNNNNNNNNNNNNNNNNNNNNNNNNNNNNNNNNNNNNNNNNNNNNNNNNNNNNNNNNNNNNNNNNNNNNNNNNNNNNNNNNNNNNNNNNNNNNNNNNNNNNNNNNNNNNNNNNNNNNNNNNNNNNNNNNNNNNNNNNNNNNNNNNNNNNNNNNNNNNNNNNNNNNNNNNNNNNNNNNNNNNNNNNNNNNNNNNNNNNNNNNNNNNNNNNNNNNNNNNNNNNNNNNNNNNNNNNNNNNNNNNNNNNNNNNNNNNNNNNNNNNNNNNNNNNNNNNNNNNNNNNNNNNNNNNNNNNNNNNNNNNNNNNNNNNNNNNNNNNNNNNNNNNNNNNNNNNNNNNNNNNNNNNNNNNNNNNNNNNNNNNNNNNNNNNNNNNNNNNNNNNNNNNNNNNNNNNNNNNNNNNNNNNGGAAGGGCUCACCUUGGCCGAAAAUGGGGAGAAAGCUCGCCCAUUUCGGCUAAGGGGCUCUUUUAUAGUGGCUGGCCAGGCCACAUUCGGGAGCCGAACGUGCCUCCGCAUGCAUGCCAUGUUCGGCGGCCGAACUUGAGGUUCGGUGGCCGAACCUGGGCUUCCCUCACUUAUGCCUUCGGGGGUCUAAGGCUCACCCGAAAUGCAUGCAUGUUCGGCGGCCGAACUUUGUGUUUCGGCGGCCGAACCUGAGUUUUCCUCCAAAGUUGUUUUCAUGCAAAAACUCAUUUCCUUUUCAUUUAAAAUCAUGAAAAACAUUAAAACAUUUUAUGAAAACAUGUUUCUACCCUACUAGAGGCUUCCGACGUCCGAGAUUCCACCGGACGGUAGGAAUUCCGAUACUGGAGUCUAGCCGGGUAUUACAAUUAUAAAAAUAAAAAAACAUUUAGUUUAAUAUAAAAAAAUGAAAAUUUAGGAAUUAAGUAGUGGACUUGUUUCUGCCCCGCUAGUGAGUUCAAGCUUCCUAGGGCUCAUUUCAAAUUAUCCUUCUUCCCCAAUUCAAAUUUUUAGAAAUUUUAGAGAUUAAAAGUCUGAUCAGUGAGUUUCUCAGCAACACACAUCCUCGAAAAAAUUUAGACAGAAUUGUUUUUUGAUUUACAUCUUGAACUUGCUUAACACAUCGAUAGCUAUCAGACUCAUCAGUCCACAGUUUCUUUUAUCUCCAUGUAUAAUGUCACGGAACUUGCAGCUUAUCCCCAAUUUCGUGCGGCCUUAGCUCCUCAAAUGAAUUAAGUCAGCCUCCCACACCAGCAAGUGCAAAAAAUAAUGACACUUGAAUAGAAAAAGUAGAAAAAAAUAGCACAAGAGUGGCACAAUGAAAGGAAAACAAUUGGGAAGACAAAUGAGCAAAUGGGUAGAAUUUCACCAAGUAAAUGAAGCUUUACAAGUGUGAUUUUAGUAGCUCACUCUUUCUUUACAAAGCUCUCUCCUGAUGUCCCCAUCUGUUCAAAGGGACCUCUAUUUAUAGUUACUACACCUCCCUAAUGUAUGGCUGAGAAUAAAGCUUUCAAGAGAAGCUCCCAUUAAUUUAUUCACAAGUUGGCAGAUUCAUUGAAUCUGUUAAGUGGUCUUGUGAAGCUCCCCCAGUAGGUUGUUGUCUUGUCAUCUCCAACAAGUUAUUGUUUUGGCUGCCCAAUAAGCUGCUGUCUUGGCUUCUUCUACAGGCUGCUGCCUUAUCUUCCCCAAUAAGUUGUUGUUCUGGCUGCCCCAGCAAGUUGCUGUUGCAGGCUGUUGUCUUGUCAUCCCCAGCAAGUUGCUAUUUUGGCUUGUUUUGGCUGCCCCAGCAAGUUGCUGUCUCGGCUUCUCCAGCAGGCUGCUGCCAUGGCUUCUCCAGUAGGCUGCUGUCAUGGCUUCUCCAGCAGGCUGUUGUCUUGUCAUUCCACAGCAAGUUGCUCUUUUGCCCAUGUGGAGAGUAUUCUGGAGACUUUCUAGUACUAACCCCUUGUUUCAAACUGCCUAUUACUGGCUGGAAAUUGGCCCAGAUUUGCUCAAACGGGCUGCCAAACGUAGCCCAUCGCCCCAGCCUGCUUCUGCCUGAAUUGGCCAAAUUCUGUGUAGUCUGCCUUAGCCUAGUAGGCCUGCCGCGCACCCCAAUCUACCUGGCACAUCCUCAGGCUGGUGCCUUCCCAGUUGGCCUAUGGAUUCAGCCCAAGCAAUCUUUGCCUUGUUCUCGCCAGUAGCUCCUGUGCCCCAACUUUCAUCCGUUGGCCAGCCAGCUUCCUGCUGGCGCCCAGACUGGUACGUUGCCCCCUAGUUCUCCUCCGUAAGCCUGCCAGCUUCCUGUUUGGUGCCCAGACUGUGAUGCGACCAGCCUGUACAAAGCUCUCUCCUGAUGUCCCCAUCUGUUCAAAGGGACCCCUAUUUAUAGUUACUACACCUCCCUAAUGUAUGGCUGAGAAUAAAGCUUUCAAGAGAAGCUCCCAUUAAUUUAUUCACAAGUUGGCAGAUUCAUUGAAUCUGUUAAGUGGUCUUGUGAAGCUCCCCCAGUAGGUUGUUGUCUUGUCAUCUCCAACAAGUUGUUGUUUUGGCUGCCCAGUAAGCUGCUGUCUUGGCUUCUUCUACAGGCUGCUGCCUUAUCUUCCCCAAUAAGUUGUUGUUCUGGCUGCCCCAGCAAGUUGCUGUCUCGGCUUCUCCAGCAGGCUGCUGCCAUGGCUUCUCCAGCAGGCUGCUGUCAUGGCUUCUCCAGCAGGCUGUUGUCUUGUCAUUCCACAGCAAGUUGCUCUUUUGCCCAUGUGGAGAGUAUUCUGGAGACUUUCUUGUACUGACCCCUUGUUUCAAACUGCCUAUUACUGGCUGGAAAUUGGCCCAGAUUUGCUCAAACGGGCUGCCAAACGUAGCCCAUCGCCCCAGCCUGCUUCUGCCUGAAUUGGCCAAAUUCUGUAUAGUCUGCCUUAGCCUAGUAGGCCUGCCGCGCACCCCAAUCUACCUGGCACAUCCUCAGGCUGGUGCCUUCCCAGUUGGCCUACAGAUUCGUCCCAAGCAAUCUUUGCCUUGUUCUCGCCAGUAGCUCCUGUGCCCCAACUUUCAUCCGUUGGCCAGCCAGCUUCCUGCUGGCGCCCAGACUGGUACGUUGCCCCCUAGUUCUCCUCCGUAAGCCUGCCAGCUUCCUGUUUGGUGCCCAGACUGUGAUGCGACCAGCCUGUCCACAGGCCAAUCGGGCCCAUCAGUCCUGAAUUGCCUAGAAAUCAGCCUGUUCCCCUAAUCAUCCCACAUGGAAGGUGCCUCUCUCCUACGAGAAAAAUUUUGGAUUUUAGAGAGAAAAUUGGGGAGGUGUUACAUUCUCCUCCACUUAAUUCGGGCAACGUCCUCAUUGCCAGUAUUCGAGCACAUGUUCCUCUUUGUUCCACAAAGUCAGUUCAGGCUCCCAUGUUGCCUCUGAAUCAGAAAGUCCCUUCCACUUCACAAGGUAUUCACAAGGUAUUCCUUGUAGCUCGGAUGAUUGCCCUUUCUUGGAACCACUCGAUGAGCAAUUGCGGUAGGAGCUUGAUGGGACUCAAUUCUACCUGGUUCGUCAUUAUCUCCAUGGAACAAUUUGAGCAUGCUUACAUGAAAAACUGGCUAUGCCUCAAUAUGGGUAGGCAAUUUGACUCUAUAUGCCACCCUGCCAAUUUUUCUCUCAAUGGGGAAGGGUCCUUCAUAACGACGGAGCAGUCCCUUAUGCACCUUGUCAUAGUUGCAAACGGUGUGAGGGAAGAGUUUUACCAUCACCAAGUCUCUCUCUUUGAACUCUACAUGUUUCCUCUUAGUGUCGGCCCAUUUCUUCAUCUUCUUUAUAGCCUUCUCAAGAUGAGACCUUGCGACUUCAUUCUUCUCAUGCCAACUCUUGGCAAAUUUAUAUGCCCCUGGACUCCUUCCAGAAUAUCCAAUGGCAAGAGUGUGAGGAGUAAGUGGUUGUUGCCCUGUAGCCACUUCAAAUGGACUGGGCAAACAAAACAAGUCCGCACAUACUGCUCCACCUCAUCUCUCAUUCUUGGCCAACAGUAAGCCCGUUCAACUAGGGCUAAUAUGCGGUUGACUCCUGGAUGCCCAGCCCAAAGGGAAUCAUGGCAUUCCCGAAUGAUCUCCUUCCUUAAGCUUUCCAACUGUGGUAGAAAUAGGCAACCUGUCUUGGUGCGUACUAAUUCCCCAUCAGCAUUGAAUCUUCGCAAUUGGCCGUCUUUUGCAAGCUUUAGCGAAUCCCUUGCUUAUGGAUCAUGCUCCAUCCCCUACCGAAUAGGAUCCUUCAUGAGGAAGUUGGGUUGGCUAGUGGCUGCCAGCUCAGUUUUACGACUCCAUGCAUCUGCCACCAAGUUAGCCCGUCCUGGCUUAUUGUAACGACCCGGAAACCGGACCGCUACCGGCGCUAGGAUCCAGAUCGACUUAAGGUCGCCGGGACCCAUAGUAAGCCUACAAUACAUCCUGUCAUCUGAUACAAUCCCGUACAUGAUCACAUAUUUUCAUAAAAACUUUAAACUUUCCAUUUACCAAGCUCGACCUGUGCAUGCACUGAAACUGAAAACAUAAAACCCCUUACUGGAGCCCUCAUCAAAUGCUCCAGUUGGGUCAACAUCUCAUACAUCAAGCUUGGUUCAACAUACCAUAACAUUAAAAUAUUUACAUCAAGAUCAUGUACAACAGGGAUUAACUAUAAAUAUUAGGGCCAAGCACAAAACUAAUCAUCAUUAGAUUAUUUUACAAUUCAUUACAUUACAUGCCAUUUCAUCAUGUCCGCUCCUAUUCUAUUACAUAGACACCUCUUUUACUCUUGACGACUUUUCGGUCUAACCUGAACCUGCAAAAUUGGGGGUUAAGGGAAAGGAGUGAGCUACUAGAGCCCCGUGAGCAGAACAAUAAAACAAUUUAUAAAGAUAUGCUAUCAUGAAAUGCGUCACAUCACAAGUAAAUCACCUUUAGAUGGUAUUGUCACCAAUAGCCCUCUACAUAUCCAAUAAUGCCCAGCCCUCGACGGAGCUCCUCAGAACUUGUUCUUAACAUAACAUAACAUGUCCAAUUGUGCCAAGGGCGAUUAGGCCACACCUGGUCUUUCCAUCUCAUAUCAUAUCAUAUCACAUCAAGGGCUAAUGGUUCAUCUAAUAUCCAUCCACAACAACAAUAAAUAAUGCAAUGCAUCAUAUUCGUGAAUUCUAAUGCAAAACAACCUAAUACAUAUCAUGGCAUUCGUGAUGCAUGAGUCAUGCUAAAAAGAUUUCAUUUCUUUAACAUAAACAAGUUGUGUUCUACUCACCUCUGGCUGAUGCUUUACUGACUCUGUAGCAGCUAGCUCACUGCUGACCUCCUCGGUCUCUCAGGUCCGAUCCUACAUAGGUGGACUCAAAUGAAGGACCAAACAUACUCUAACAUAACUCUAAACAGCUCCCCAAAAACCCCCUGAAAUAUCACAAAAUAUUCAUAGAAAACAUGCAAAGGAAGGCUGGACAGGCACUUUCGGCGGCAGGUUCGGCGGCCGAAAGUCCCUCCAGAGCCGAAACUCAGGCACCUUCGGCGGCCGAAACUCCCUCCAGAGCCGAAAGUCCAACUUUCGAGGGUGAGCUUAGGCGGCCAAAACAUGCCACCACAGGCAGGUUCGGCGGCCGAACAUGGCUUCGGCUGCCGAACCUGAGUUCUUCCAGAAUGGGAGAACUCAUGCCUCACACAUACACAUUUGCCUCCCAAACUCUCCAAACUCAAACACAACACUUCCCAAGCAUGCAUAAACAUGUAUUCAAGUAUUUAGGGGCUUAAAACUAGCCUAAACCCCAACAAACAUCACAUAGCAACACAUUUAACAUACAUUUACCAUAAUGGGUACAUAAACCCUAUCACUUUAAAUCUACUCUAAACAUGCAUCAUUUACCCUUAAAACCCCUCAAAACUUACUUAAAACAUAGGAAAGGAUGAGGAUCUACUCUUACCUCUUGAAGAUCGAGAGGAGAGGGGAUCCAAGCUUAGAGAUGUUGAGAAACUAACUCCUGAGGUCUCCAAGCUUCCAAACUUCGAUCUUUGCUCAAAAAUCUUCAAAACCAAGUUAAAACUCAUCAAAACAUGAAUGAUUUGAAGGAAAGCAUCAAAACCAAUCAUGGAAGGGCAUGGACUCACCUCUGCCCGAAAAUGGAGAAGAAAGCUCGCACAUUUUCGAACAUGGGGCCUUUUAUAGGUGGCUAGCUAGACCACCUUCAGAGGCCAAAGGUGCUUCCAAAACUCUACCACGUUCGGCGGCCGAACUUGACAUUCGGCGACAGCAAAAGGGAGCCACUUUCGGCGGCCGAACAUGAGGUUCGGCGGCCGAACCUGGCAUUUCCCCUUCAAAAUUUUCUUUUCUUUCAAAACUCAAUUUUCUUUCUUGACCAAACCAUAAAAACAUGUAAAAACAUUUUAGAAAACCUUCAUUUUACCCUUUUAGAAGAUUCCGACAUUCGAGAAAUUCCGGAUUCCAACGGAGAUUUCGCCGGAAGGUAGGAAUUUCGGUGCCGAGGUCUAGCCGGGUAUUACACUUAUACUCCAUGGUGAAGUCAAAUUCAGCCAAGAAUACAUGUCAUCGUGCAUGCUCUAGGGACAGCUUCUUCUGGGUGAGGAAGUAGCUUGUGGCAACGUUAUCAGUUUUGACCACAAACUUGGAUCCCAGUAAAUAAUGGUGCCAAGUCCGCAAACAAUAGACCACUACAGUCAUUUCUUUCUCUUGCACGGUGUAGCGCCUUUCGGUAUCAUUCAACUUCCGGCUCUCAUAAGCAAUGGGGUGACCCUCCUACAUAAGAACGCCCCCUAUUGCAAAAUCAGAUGCGUUAGUGUGGACUUCAAAUGGUUUGUUGUAAUUAGGCAACAUCAGCACUAGCUCCUCAAUCAUGGCCUUCUUCAAAGCAUCAAAGGCCUCCUGACAUUUGUCUCCCUAAUCCCAUGGUCGGUCCUUCUUUAAUAAAUUUGUCAAAGGGGCUGCCAAGGCUGAAUACCUCUUGAUGAACCGGUGGUAGUAGUUUGCAAGCCCAAGGAAAGACCGCAAUUCGGUUACUUUCUUUGGAACCUCCCAUUCUUGGAUAGCUCGAAUAUUUGCUUCGUCCAUUUUGAUCUUUCCUCUGCCAACAAUGUGCCCGAGGAAUGGUACUUCUUAUUGAGCAAAGGUACAUUUCCCCUGUUUCACAUAAAGUUGGUUCUCCCGCAGCACCUUGAAAACCUAUCUCAAGUGCUCAACAUGGUCUCGCAAGGAUUUACUAUAAAUCACAAUAUCAUCCAAAUACACUACCACAAAUUUAUCAAUGAAGGGCUGAAAUAUCUUGUUUAUCAAAGUAUAGAAUGUGGCUGGUGCAUUUGUGAGACCAAAUGGCAUGUCAAAGAAUUUAUAGGAUCCAUACCUUGUUACACAUGUAGUUUUCAGUCAUCUCCCUCAGCAAUCCUUACUUGGUAAUAUCCCGACCUCAAAUCCAGUUUUGAGAACCAUCUACCUUCUCCCAACUGGUCAAAUAGAUCAACAAUUAGAGGAAUGGGGUAUUUAUUUUUCACCAUUACCUUGUUGAGAGCUCGGUAGUCAAUGCACAUUCUGAGCGAGCCAUCUUUCUUCUUCUGGAACAGCACAUGUGCUCCAUAAGGGGCUUUAGAUGGUUGGAUGUACCCAGCUUCAACUAGCUCAUUAAGUUGCCUUUUCAACUCAUCCAGCUCAGGAGGGCUCAGCCUGUAGGGCACUCCAUGAGGUGGUCUUACAUUAAACUCCAAAUCGAUCUUAUGAUCCACUUCUCUUCUUGGAGGCAGCUUUUUCGGCAACUCGGAUGACAUUACUUUCUUGAACUCAUCAAAUACGUCAAGGACAGAAUCGGGUAUGGCUUCGGCUUGGACAUCUCUUUCCUCUUUUACUGCCACCAAGUAAAUAGGCUCAUCUCUCAUCAUGCCUUUAGCAAAUUGCAUAGCAGAGAGUGGCACCAUGGCUAGAAGUAGCCCUUGACAAAAUAUCAGAAAUCUCAUUCUCCAAAAUAAUAUUAAAAAUAAAAAAAAUUAAUUUUAUAUAUAAAAAUAAUAUUAAUUAAUAUUUAAUUUUAAAUUAAUAGUAAUUUCCAUUUUAAAAAAUUGAAUAGUAAUUUAAGUACUAAAUAUAAAUUAAUUUCAAUAAUAUAUAAAUUUUAUUUUACGAUAAUAAUUAUAAAAAUUUAUAACAAAUAAAUUAUUCUUAAUUGUCUUAUAUAUAUUACUAUUUUGAAUUAAAUUAAAUAACACAUGACUGUUAUAAAAUAUUUAUUAUUAUUAUUAUUGUAAAUAAAAUUUAUUAUUAUUAAAGGUGUAAAUUAUAUAUUUAAUAAUUUAUUUUUAUUUUUAAUUUUAAAAAUUAACUAAAAUUAUAUUAUAAUGCACAUAUUGAAUUAAUUUAUUCAAAAUUAAAAUAACGCAAGCGUUGAAUUUUUUCGACCAAUUAGAUAAAUGCAUCUUAAAACGACGACAUGGACAGAAAGGACUCUUAACCACUAAACCGACACACUGAACAUGAAACAUGCAACUCAUUAGCGACCCAAGUCGGAGUUUCUCCAUUCAGAUCUGCUUUCCCUUUUAUUAGCUUUUAAUCUCUUCUUCUCCAACCCUUCGAUUUAUGACCUCGCUGCUGCAACGAAACGGCCAUUAAGUUGCUCAACAGAAUCUCUAUCUUCUUCUUCUUCUUCAAUAUCAUAUUGGGUAAUAAUACGAAUCUCUACGUUCAUGACCCAUUUCUUCUUAAUCCUGGAAAUCUCUGCCAAAAUAUCCAUAGCGUUGCAUAUUAUCUUGGAGAUGACAAAGCUUCUGAGCUUGGGAUGUAUGUCUAUGGAACAAGGCAACAAGGUUGAGAUUAUUUCAGAAACAUCAUCGCCGAGAAAUUGUUCUUCAGUGAGCUCUACAGUGUUACCCAUGAUUUGAGUUCGUAUUUCGAGUUGGGUGCCCCAUACUUGGCAGUGUGUGGAGCUUGGAAGAAUUCUGAUGUGGAGAACUGGUGGACAAUUCUCUUCAAGAUCAAACUUUUUGUAUCUUAUGUUUACUUGCAGUUUUGCUGUGGAAGCCAUGAUUAUAAUGAUAGUUUUGCUAGUGUUUUGAUCGAACAAGGGAAUAUAGAAUUUGUUGGAGUGUUAUGGUAUAUAGAUAUAUAUAUAUAGAGAGAGAACCAAUCCUGUUUGGAUUGGACUUCUGUUUUCCGAGAAAGAACAGGAAAAGGAAAGGAAAACACACAAACAUAUUAUUAAUUAAUUAGAAGCCUAGUCCUGUUUAGUUUGGAUUGGAGCCAUAAUUAGAUUAUGAGAGAAGAAAAAAACAAUCCACAAUUGCAUUUUGUGUUCCAAUCAUAUCUUUACAAGUGUCCUUACAAAAGAUUUCUUUAAUUGGAAAAUUUUACUUACACCUAUUUACCGUUAACUAAAAAAAAAUUAAAAUUUUAAUUACACCGAUUCAUCGUUAACUAAAAAAAAAAUAGAAAAGAAAAGAAGCAAGUCUAGUUAUAAUUCGUCGAAAGACUGACUUGUGGAUUGACUUACAGCCACCACCCAAUUUGAUUUAUUUUUUAAUUUUUCGAUUUUAUUUAUUUUUGUAAAUAAUUUAAUAGCAAGUCAUUGAGUUCUGUUUUUUUUAGCAAGUCAUUGAGAUUUAAUAGUAAGUCAUUGAGAUUUAGUAGGAUAUAUAAUUUAAUUCCUAUUUUUUCUUUUUGUAAAUAAUUUAAUUUUGGGUUAUCAAGUUCUGCUCGUAUAUCUUUGGAUUUUUUAUCUGGUUUGAAUACCAGUUUAUUUGCUUGUUUUUGUUGGAUAUCUUUCUAUCCUUUGAAAUCUUUUUUUAAUUUCCUAUGUUUUCUUCCUUUAGCUUUUUCGCCUCUCCAAACUGUUUCUAACACUCCCUCUUACCCACGUCCUUUUCCUAAAAGCUCACACUCUUUACUCCCACCCACCUACCGCCACAACUUCUACUUGAUGGAAAAUUUGAAACAAAACGUCUCUAAGCUCAUUAACAAGGUAAAAAAUAUACAUACAGUGCUCAGAAGAUACUCUAUAAUUAAUGGAGGAUGAUUUCAAUUCCAAUCUUAGCCGCAAGUACAUUCUAGUAGUGGAAAAAUCAUAUCCCAUAAAAUGCUAAAUUGAAUUUUUAAAUUAAUUAUUUUCAGUCAAUUUUUUUGAUUUAAAUUAAAUAUUAUUUAUUUUUAUUUAUAAACUAAUUAAAUCAAUUUAAUUGAAUAUCGCUUAUUUUUAGCCAUAAAAUAAUUGAAUAAGAUGAUAGUGAGUCACAUCGGCACAUCGGCAUAUAUAUUACUAUCGAGACACAAUGGUUCAACCAAUCAAAACUGGUGAAAAUACCGAGCCAUAGCAAUUACAAAUUCUUUUCAACAUACAAGGCUAGUAAACUACUAUGUAAUAACGUCGUCCUCCUUAAUGAGCAGUUUCAUUAGCUUUGUAACUUAACCUAAAAUAGAAACAUAAUAUAACUCUAAAGAUUAAAAAAGGUUUAUAAUAUGAUCAAUUAUCAACAUUGGAUAACAUAUUAAUCCACCUCUAUCAUCAUUUGUAACAUAUUGAAAAGUCUUUUAAACCACAAUAAUAAUUUAGAAGCAAAACUAUGAUAAUUUUUCAUUAUCUAUCUUCUAUAUUAUUAUAAUGAAUAUAUUAAAACAUUUAUUUCUAAAAUAUAUUAUAUAUAUAUAUAUAUAUAUUUAAAGAAAAAUAAUGCUCCAGUGGCAAUGCAAAAACUUAAGUCAGGAGAUCCAAUUCCAUUUUUUAGCAAUACCUUUAAUUUCGUUCAUUUCAGAAAGAUUUCCAUCCAAAUGCAUACUAAAGAAGAAAAUUUUAAAUUGAUAUUUAAAUUUAAUUAGAGCAAUUGAAAAAAGAAUUCUUAUUUUUUAAUAAUAAAAAUGAUAUAUAAAAAUAAACUAAAUAAUAAACGAAUAAUUUUAUUUUAUAAAUAUUUUUUUUUAAAAAAUUAAAUAAAAUAUUUGGAGUUAAAUUAUAAAGAUUAAAAAUAAAAUUUUUGACUUGUAAAAAAAUAAAGAUGGAGAGGAAUAUGGGGCGAAGCUAGUUGCUGUAAAAAUAAUAUUAGAUAUUAGGAGUUUUAUUUAUGAGUGAAUAUUAUCAAAUUUUCAAAUUUUUUAAAAAAUUAUUAGUUUAUCUCUAUGUUAAAAUCUAUUCAUUAAAAUACUUUUAUAUUUUAUGAAGUUAAAUUAUUUAGUUUAUUUUAAAAAAUAGUUAAUCAAUUUAUUUUUACUCUUUACUAAAUAAAUUAAAUAUUAUGAAUAUCUGAAAUUAUAGAGACUAAAUAAUAUAUAUAAUUAAAAUUAUAUAGAUUAAAUAAUAUAAAUAUUCAAGAUAAAUUAAUGAUUUUUUAAUAUAAAAAUUAAAAAUUUAAUUUUGUAAAAUACAAAAAAAAUUUAAUUAGAUAAUUUUUAAAUGGAAUAAAUUAAUAAAUUUUAUAAAAAUUAAAAGAUUCAAAUAGUAAUUUUUUUUGAAUUAAUAGAAAAUUAAUUGAACUUCUCUAAAUAAUUUAAAAAAUUUCAAGAAAAGACCCAUGGCCUCUUAGGCCCAUGCAUAGCUCUGCCCCAGAAUGCCCUCAUCGCGUAACAGGUAGGUCCCCUACAUCCUAACUAGUUAAGAAAUAUUGUAUUAUUUUAGGGAAAGAUUGUUUUUGAGUUUUUGACAUAUAUUACCAUUAAUGAAUUUAUUUUUUUAUUUUUUUAAUUUUUUAAAUUUUAAUUUCGUUAAAAUUUAAAUUUCUUUUAAAAAAAUUUGUGUGAAAUCAAUAAUAUUCGCUUGAUUAAAAAUAAAGAAUAAAUAUAAUUUCAAAAAUAUUUUUAUCAAUAAUAAAAUAAAAAAAUUAUUAUUUAAUUUUUAUUGUAUGGAAAAAUUUGCUAUUUAAUUUUUUAAAUUUAAAAAAUAUAUUAAAAUAUUUCUAAUACUUUUAAAAAUCUACUAAUUAAUUCUUCUAUUAAUUUAUCUCUAAAUAUUUUAUUAUUUAGUUCCUAUAGAUUAAAAAAAAUUAUUAAUUGAUCUCUCAAAUUAUUAAAAAAUUUAUUAAUUAAUUCCUCUAUAUCAGAGAUAUUUUAAUUUUUUUAUAAUAUUUAACGGUUAAAAUUAAUAGAAAGACUAAAUAGUAGACUUUUAAAAUAUAAAAAACGUUUUAAUAAAUUUUUUAAAAUUGCGAGCAGUGAUCGAUAGUUAACAGUAUCAUAAAAAUAAUUUUUAUUAAAUUUUAAUUUUUUAUUUUUAAUAAUUUAAAUUUUAUAUAUUUAAAUUUUUAUUAUUUUUACUUAAUUUGAAUCUUAAAUUUAUUGAAAUUUUUAUUUGUUCAUAGAGAUUGAAUUUGAGAUUUUCUUCCUUGAAUUUUGAUGAAAUUAAACUUCAGGAAUUAAACUGUUGAAUUCAAAAAAUAGAGAAAUAAAUCUGUUAAUUAUGUAAUAUCUUAGGAACGAAAUUGUAUUUUUUCCUUCAAUUCUUUAAGAGAAAGAAUAUAAAUUUAUAUGAAUUAAAUUUCAAGAACUAAAGUGUUGGAUUUUAGAAUGGGUAGUUCGAUUAUUUUUUUUAUACUAACAGUCUUUUUUAUGGAAAAAUUUCUAAAUUUAACAAAAUUAAAUUUUAAAGACAAAAAUAUUGGUUCUAAAAAUAGAGAAAUGAAUAUGUUAAUUACACUAUAUCAAUAAAAAAAAAAGUAAUUUUUUUUUAUUUAAAAUUAUGAUGGGUUAUAACUAAAACUAUGGUGAGUAACGCACAUUGAAUCCUUAAAAUAUAAUUACACAAUUAAUUAAUAAUUUUAAUAAAUCGUAUAAAUUUAAUUAAUUACAAAUAAAAUAAAAUUCAAACUUAAUUAAUAAUUAUAAAUAAAUUAUUUAAUUUUUUAAUAUAAAUACAUAUAUUAAUUGUUAUUUGUAUUAAUUUAAUUUUAUAAAAAUAAAAAAAAAUGAAAACAUAAAUUUAAGAUGAAAGGAGAAUGAGAUUAAAUAACACAAUUUUAUAAAAAUUUCAAUUUGAUUAAUUUUUAAAUGAUAAAAAAAUUUAGCUAAUGAAAUCCAUUAUAAAAAUGCAGAAAAAUAUAAAAAAAAAAAAAAAUUUCAGCACAAAGAUGCUGAAGACAUCGAAAGAUAAAAGAGAAGAAAUGAAUUAAGAAAUGCACCCUACACCUAAUUAAACAGCUCUUUACAUAUAAAUCAUUCUAUUAUUAUCUUAAUUUUUAAUUUGAUCAUAUUUGUAACUAUAUGAAAUAAUUUAAAUUUUAUACAACAGUUAAAUCUGAAUUUUAUCUGUUUGACCGUUGUGCUUGAAUCAAGAUCUUGGAGAAGCGAAAUUUUUUAAUUUAAAAUAACUCUAAAAUAAUUUCUGCUGUUAACACUUUUAAAUUCUAAAUCUAUUAAGAUUAAAUUUUAAAUAAAAAUUUAUUUUUUAUUAUUAAAAAUAUAAUAAAAUUAUAAAAUUAAUAUAAAAAAAUAAUAAAUUUAACGACUCAUCAUCAUGGUGCCUAUUAAAAUGAUAAUAUAUUUUUUUAUUGAUUAUAUGGCGUACAAGAAAUUUCAUAUAAACUUUUGAUUUCAUAAUCUUUGGACUAGAUUUUAAUAAUAUUAUCAAUAUACAAAUUAUUAAACCUUUAAUCUGAUUUUUUUUAAAAAAAAAAUACUUAUAAAAAUAACAAUUUCGACUUUGUAAUAUUUAUAUAUAACAAUAAGUUGAGCUGUGGUGUAUCAAAUCAAUGAUAUUAAGAUAUAUAAUAAAAAAUAAAAAUUAUUUAUUAAAUUAAUAUUACCACAAAAAAUAUAUUUACAUAAAAUUUAAAUUUAUUAAAAUUUAAAUUAUUUUAGUGUAUCAUCCCAACGUGGAAAAUAAAAACGCGGUAGGCUUGACUUGAAAAUUGCUACCCAUUUAAAUUUUCACAAAAAAAAAAGUAUUUUUAUACCAAAAAGUCUCCUGGUCAGAAUAUUUAAUUAAUUAUAAGCAUUAUCUUCUGCCCUUAGGCCUUAGUAAUGCAAAUUUGCAUUUUGAAAAAAAAAAUGAUUUGCAAAAAAUAUUUUUAAAAAUAAUCUCAUUUCUAAAAAUAAAUUUCAUUGAAACAUUUUUAGUUUUUGAUUCUAUUCAACACUUCCAACCUCCUGGUCAUUUAGUUGGUAGUGUCUAAAGGAAAAGAAAAUUAAAAUAUAUUUAUAGUAGCGACGGAUAUUUUAUUUUUUUUAAAUAAAUCUGAAAUGUUAAAAAUAUAAAAUUUAAAUAUUAAAUAGUAAUUUAUUUGAAGACGUAAUAUAUUGUAAUAUACUUAAAAAUAAUAAAUUAAGUAAAAUGUUUGACAAAGUUAUAAUUUAAGGAUAUUUUAAUGAGUUUAUGAUAAGAAAGAAAUUAUUAAUAAUAAAAUAUUCAAGGGUACUUUUAUAAAUUAUCUUUAAAAAUAAAAAAAAAGGCAUUAGCCUUCAAGUAUAUAUAAAUACUACGCAUGAGCUGCACCAAGGCACAAUAAGCAUUCAACCAAAUCCAUCAAAAUUUGCGCUAAGGAGAGGUAAAUCUUCUUUUCUUAAUACCAAAUUUCAUAUAUAUAUUUUGUAAACUAGAUAUAUAUUUGCAGCUUGUUGAUGAAGCUGCUGUUCUUAGUUUUGAUUCUUGGUGGAUCAAUCUCUUGUUCAAUUGGAGUUGAACUUGAAAGCUUGCCUUAUCGAGAGGGAAGAAAACAGGAAAUUGCUUGUCAACUUGCAGGAAAAGCAAAUAUUAGGACGACGGCUAGCUUCUUGGCUUGUGGAGAUGUGAAAAUAAACCAGAAGAAAGCGAAGGAAAAUUUGAGGAAAUAUGAAACUCUACAGCCUUCUGCUUCUCAGCAAAUUGUCGUUUUAAGAUACAAUCAAAUUAUAAUGCGAAGGCUACUAGCUAAGGGACCUUCUACUGGUAAAGGUCCUGAUCCUUGUAGUCAUGUUGUAGGUAGUGUCAGUUGUACCGGUGGUCAUGGGUAAUUAUGCGAGAAAUUAUUAAGCACAUUCAGAUAUAUAUACAUUUAGUCAAUAAAUAUAUUUAAUUUUAAAAUUAAUUAUAAAGAUUUAUAAUAAAUAAAUUAUUCUUAAUUAUUUUAUAUAUAUUACUAUUUUGAAUUAAAUAACAUAUAACGGUUGUAAAAUAUUCAGUUCCAAAAAAAAACUGUUGUAAAAUAUUUAUUAUUAUUAUUGUGUGAAUUAUGUAUUUAAUAAUUUGAUUAUUUAUUUUUAAUUUUAGUUUUAAAAAUUAAUCAAAAUUAUAUUUUAAUGCAUAUGCUGAUUUAAUUGAUUCAAAAUUUAAAUAACACAAACGUUGAAUUUUUUCGACCAAUUGGAUAAAUGCAUCUUAAAACGACGACAUGGAGAGAAAGGACUCUUAACCAUUAAACCGACACACUGACCAUGAAACAUGCACCUCAUUAGCGACCCAACUCGGAGUUUCUCCAUUCAGAUCUGCUUUCCCUUUUAUUAGCUUUUAAUCUCUUCUUCUCCAACCCUUCGAUUUAUAACCUCGCUGCUGCAACGAAACGGCCAUUAAGUUGCUCAACAGAAUCUCUAUCUUCUUCUUCUUCUUCUUCUUCUUCAAUAUCAUAUUGGGUAAUAAUACGAAUCUCUACGUUCAUGACCCAUUUCUUCUUAAUCCUGGAAAUCUCUGCCAAAAUAUCCAUAGCGUUGCAUAUUAUCUUGGAGAUGACAAAGCUUCUGAGCUUGGGAUGUAUGUCUAUGGAACAUGGCAACAAGGUUGAGAUUAUUUCAGAAACAUCAUCGCCGAGAAAUUGUUCUUCAGUGAGCUCUACAGAGUUACCCCUGAUUUGAGUUCGGAUUUCGAGUUGUGUGCCCCAUACUUGGCGGUGUGUGGAGCUUGGAAGAAUUCUGAUGUGGAGAACUCGUGGACAAUUCUCUUCAAGAUCCAACUUUUUGUAUCUUAUGUUUACUUGCAGUUUUGCUGUGGAAGCCAUGAUUAUGAUGAUAGUUUAGCUAGUGUUUUGAUCGAACAAAAAAAUAUAGAAUUUGUUGGACUGUUAUGGUAUAUAGAUAUAUAUACAUAUAGAGAGAGAACCAAUCCUGUUUGGAUUGGACUUCUGUUUUCCGAGAAAGAACAGGAAAAGGAAAGGAAAACAGAUGAACAUAUUAUUAAUUAAUUAGAAGCCUAGUCCCGUUUAGUUUGGAUUGGAGCCAUAAUUAGAUCAUGAGAGAAGAAAAAAACAUCCACAAUUGCAUUUUGUGUUCCAAUCAUAUCUUUACAAGUGUCCUUACAAAAGAUUUCUUUAAUUGAAAAAUUUUACUUAUACCUAUUUACCAUUAACUCAAAAAAAAACUUAAAAUUUUAAUUACACCGAUUCACCAUUAACUAAAAAAAAAAAAAAAGAAAAGAAGCAAGUCUAGUUAUAGUUCGUCGAUAGACUGACUUGUGGAUCGACUUAACAGCCACCAUCCAAUUUGAUUUUUUUUUUUUUUUUCAAUUUUAUUUAUUUAUUUAUUUAUAAUUAAUUGAUGGCACCUUCUUUGAAGUUUCAUUUUCAAGUAUAUAAAUAGAAGCAUUAGAUUUCAUAUAAUCUCACACAAGUCAUUUCCUCUAUCAAUUGUUGGUCAUGGCGAGGUAUGCAAAUUUUUCUCCUUUUCAUAUUGCAUAUUCUUUUUUCUUCAUUAGUAUUCUAUUUUGCAUAUUAAAUUAUAUUCUUAUAUGUGACUGAUUAAAAUGAAAAAAAAAAUUGACUAAUUAUUGAAAUAAUAUAUAUAUAAAACUUAAUUAAUUAUGGGUUUUUAAUUUGGUGUACAGAUUGAUGAUGAAGGUGCAAGCUAUAAUCAUAGGUUUGAUUGUUGUUGGAUCAAUCUAAGUUGAGGCUAGAAAAGAAAAGUAACUUCAGAAUUUGAAUCAAAUCGUCAAAUGGGAGACUCAAACACAGUUCAUCAUCUUCGAUCAAGCCCACACCAAAUUGCUGUUGAUGGAAACCUCACAUGGAAUCGCUUUAUAAGAAUAUUGAUAGGCAUUGAGAUCCCCGAUCCUCCACCUGCAGGGCAGGGGG
rnacentral:lncRNA from 1 species